rnacentral:rRNA from 1 species
CCCCGGUAAACGGCGGCCGUAACUAUAACGGUCCUAAGGUAGCGAAAUUCCUUGUCGGGUAAGUUCCGACCUGCACGAAUGGCGUAAUGAUGGCCAGGCUGUCUCCACCCGAGACUCAGUGAAAUUGAACUCGCUGUGAAGAUGCAGUGUACCCGCGGCAAGACGGAAAGACCCCGUGAACCUUUACUAUAGCUUGACACUGAACAUUGAGCCUUGAUGUGUAGGAUAGGUGGGAGGCUUUGAAGUGUGGACGCCAGUCUGCAUGGAGCCGACCUUGAAAUACCACCCUUUAAUGUUUGAUGUUCUAACGUGGACCCGUAAUCCGGGUUGCGGACAGUGUCUGGUGGGUAGUUUGACUGGGGCGGUCUCCUCCUAAAGAGUAACGGAGGAGCACGAAGGUUGGCUAAUCCUGGUCGGACAUCAGGAGGUUAGUGCAAUGGCAUAAGCCAGCUUGACUGCGAGCGUGACGGCGCGAGCAGGUGCGAAAGCAGGUCAUAGUGAUCCGGUGGUUCUGAAUGGAAGGGCCAUCGCUCAACGGAUAAAAGGUACUCCGGGGAUAACAGGCUGAUACCGCCCAAGAGUUC